CAUCACCUGUUUAACAAAAUAAGACUGAACUGUAGUUUUUGAAUCUCGCAGCUCGGCUCAUUCUGGUUAGCUUAGCCCUCGAUGCUUACACUGCUUAACAAAUAAUAAACGCAUCGGUUUGGGCCUCAGUAUAAGCUAGUAUUUGUUGAAUUGAAGAGUUUGUAUCAGCAUGAGAUUUUUUUUUUUUUUUUACCGAGACAUGGAUGAUGUAGUUGUAAUCUGUCCCGUAUCCAUUGCUCUGUUACUGUUGUCAAACACUCCGCGGCCAUACUUUUCGAACUUAAGCUGCCUUCAGGGACUGUCAUAAAAGUCAGGAUCUUCUUCUGUUUAACCAUUAUGUUAGCAGAUUGAACUGUAACUCGGUAUUUAUUUUGAAUGUUAAUUGUACAGCAUUGUCUCGUAAAAACACAAAAUAACGUCUCCAGAAUGAUACACGGUGUACGCAUUUACAGAAGAAAAAAAUAUUAGUGGCAUUAGAAACAAAAAAUAAUUUCCUUCCGUCAGUAGCAGCCUACACGUCUUUCCUUCAGGGUACAGUGACAGACUUUACGAGCAACAGUGAAUGCAUCUCUUUGUGGCAUGCGCACUGUCCAUAUCCGGACUUGUCACGUGUCCAAACAAACGCGCCUGUGUUUGUGCUUUAAGUUUGGUUUGGGGGUCUGUGUCAGGUAGUGCAGUGACUUCAGUAAACACUGGCCAAUCUUUAAGACACAUACGUCAGAUAUAUUAGUUCCCUUAGAGGCGUUUAGUGGGGAAAAAUAAAUUGUGUUGCCGUUAGCAACGGUUGCGUGGAGGUGUCACCAAGUGGUGUCCCUCGUACUCAGGAUCAAUGGCGUCCUGUGAGUGGAUGACGUCCUGUACAAACAUUAUUUUAUCUGCCACAGCACUUCACUCUUCUUACACACUCUUUAAGGAUCACAGGGCUCCAUCAGUAGGCCUCUUCCUUCUUGGACUCUCUGCAGCACUUUGCCUCUUGCAUCCCUCCAGCUCACACCUCACGUCUAUCCAGAGGGAAGCACAGUGGGCCAGUGAAGUUCUGGCUCCAGCUCUGGUUUCCUUUGACUUCCUGUGGCUCAGUGAAGAUCACAACACGGCACAUAUUCUCCUGUGUGGCUCCUGCAUUCUGCUGGGACUAUGUGACUGGCUGUCGGUCGAAGCUCUCACUUUGAUGACACGUUGCCUGGGCCUGUCCUCCCUGUCCUGCUGCCUGACUGUGUGUCUGUUUGCGGGUAAUGCUUUAGGAGCCCUGGGUGGUGUUGCCCUCAGCCUCCCAUUGCUGGUAGCUCCACCAGGUGCAGAAAACACUUUUUUGCCACUCAUUUAUCCAGGAGCCACCGAAGGACUCAUAAGGUGUAUUUUGAAAGGAUUCAUGUCUGUUGGUUGUUGGGCCUCCACAAACGCCCUUCACAUUUUUCUGUUGGAUGUUACUGAAAGAUAUACAACAGGCAUUCACUAACAUAAAGAUGUAUUGAGGUACUAAGUGGACCUAUGCAAAUCAUAAAGUGCCAACUUAAAAGCCUUUGCAAGGAGAUUUUUGGUAAAGAUUUGAGUGGGCUGAGUUAACUUUAUUGCCAUUACAACAAACUAAGUUAAGAGUUGACCUCCUCAUAAUUCAACUGACAGAAUAAGACUCAACACUACGAAAGAAAACCAUCUUAUACAAAACACUUAAGAAAUAUCAAACUUAUUGAAUCCAUUUGUAAAAGUGCAGCAUUUAGGUGCUGAUUAAUCCACAAAUCAAUUAACAGAAAAAAAGGCAAAACUUUGUAAUAGACUAACCAAGCAAUGUUUGUUUAAUUAUUAAGUGAUGAUCAUACAAAAACACAUCCAGACUUUUUACACUACAGGUGCCUGGUUCACAUGCACAAGCUCUUAAUAUUAUUAAUGUCAACAUGUUAGCACUUUAAUUUUCUUUUUGAUUAUUUACAAGAAUUUCAAGCAGGCUGCGCUCACUCUCAGGUCAUCGAUAUGCGCCACACAUCUCUGCUGACACUUUCAGUGUUGCAGAAUCUAAAAUCAUGCAGCCGCCUCCGACUCUCGCUCCUGUUUGCUUUGCAGACUCAGCAGUAUCACAGUUUAAAUAUCUGCAGUGGUCGACGCUGCCCUGCUCUUACCUCACCAUGCCCACACUUAUCGAUGCACUUUUUUUAAAACUACUUUUUUGGCUUUUAGCGUGUGUUGCAGUGACUGUUGAAGUCACUGCCACUUAAACAAGUUCUGUAUUAUUCUGUUUGUCCAAAGUGUUCAUUAUAAAAUACAUUAACAUUCA